GAUGAAGAACGUAGCGAAAUGCGAUACGUAAUGUGAAUUGCAGAAUUCAGUGAAUCAUCGAAUCUUUGAACGCAUAUUGCGCUCUCUGGUAUUCCGGAGAGCAUGCUUGUUUGAGUAUCAGUAAACACCUCAACUUCCAUAUCUUUUUUGAAAUGGGAGUUGGACUUGAGUGAUCCCAACGCUUUUCCUCACCGAAAAGUGGCGGGUUACUUGAAAUGCAGGUGCAGCUGGACUUUUCUCUGAGCUAUAAGCAUAUCUAUUUAGUCUGCCUAAAAAACAGAUUAUUACCUUUGCUGCAGCUAACAUAAAGGAGAUUAGUUCUUGUGCUGACUGAUGCAGGAUUCACAGAGACAGCUUCGGCUGGCCUUUGUAAACUCGAUCUCAAAUCAAGUAAGACUACCCGCUGAACUUAAGCAUAUCAAUAAGCGGAGGA
rnacentral:misc_RNA from 1 species